rnacentral:lncRNA from 1 species
CUCUCGAUUUUGGCUAAGGCCCAAAGUCACUGCACUGGAAGCCAAGUGUGAUCACAGGGCGAGGGAGGCUGCCAGGCCCCGGCCCGUGUGUUUCUCACUAAGGGAGCACUCAGGCUUCCUGCAGCCCCUGGCCACCUCCAGACCACGUGAGAGACAAGCGCACAGCGCACGCGUCGCGGAGCCUGAGGGCGCAGCGACUGGGAUCCCUGUGAAGCGCGAAGCCACUGCCCCCGUCUCCCUCCUCAUGGGCCCUGGGCGUGGCUUCUGGAAGGGCACAGGCGCUGCUGCUCCAGCACGUGGAGAGGUGGCUGCCUGCGGAGCCCCCCGGAAAGAGCCGGCGGUGAGCGCUGUGCCAGGGGCGACCUCCACCCCGCAGGUUCAGGCAGAGCGAGGAGCAUCCGGACUUCCAGCCACCUGGCAGGAGGAGGACUCGCUCCAUCCUGGCAGGACCGGCCCUGGACAUGCAGUCACGCUGGCCAAUGCACGCCUCCAAGUGUGGCUGGGAGAAGGGACCAGGAGGGCCUCCCCGUAGAGAAAUGAGGCCCGUUCCAGCAGAUGCACACGUCACCCUGACUGAUGAGUCACGUGAGGAGCACAGGCCCAGAGCAGCCCGGGGCACCCCAGGUCCACCGGGGGAGAGGUAGCCACGGACCUCUGCCUGGAGGUUGGCGAAAUGGGUUUUCCAUUGUCAUGGACUGUCUUCCUCCCUCAACCCCGAGAACCCACGAGAGCAGGCCAAGAAAGGACCCCAGGUCAGCUGCAUCGAGAACCAGCUAGUUCGGGUACAGUGGUCAGAAGAGCAACAGGUGACACCGGGGAGGUGACCCUGAGCCCUCACAACGCAGGGUCCAGUGCGUGUCACUCUCACUGCCCCUGAUGGCUGUGCCCAGGUCUCUAGAGUGAGCCUCCCAGAAAGCUUCCCUUCAGAUGGCCCGGGUGGGCUGCUCAGUCCUCCUUAGGCGUGUCCAGCCUCGAACAAAGGAGACACAGACCCGGCAAGGCUGAACAGUGGCCGUGGCGGCAGUGGCUCUCCUCCGAUGGCACUGCCAUCCCUGUAUCUGGAGGGCCGUCCCAGGCUCCCGUGGACACCGAACUCUGUGGAUGCUCAAGUCCCUCUACAGAAUGAUGAAACACUACAGCAGUGAAUGAAAUCCUGAGUUGAGAGCAGCAACAGAAUUUGUCACUAAACACCUGCUGUGGCCAGGCUCUGAAGGCAUCUCGUGCACUCUGAUGUCAGAAAG